rnacentral:lncRNA from 1 species
GUAGUUUAGAAAUCGGUCAAUGGCGGACGAAUGCAAGAAAAUUUACAAAAAUAAACGAUGUUUGACAAGUUAUUUGGAAAGGAACAUUACGUUUUUAAUGCAAUAAAUGGAUUAAACAUUUACUGGAGACAACUUUUAUCACGUUUAAAUGAAGUAACAAACUUAUUUUGCCGUCGAAAUUUAGGUUGAUGUACGUUUUCGAGUAACAAGCACCAGAACUUGCAGAAAUGCACGAAGUGAUAAAAAGUUGUAUUUUUAUCAAAUAACCUGCUACACACUGCGAAGACAAUGCUUCAGCCUCUUUUCUAAAGAUAAUGAAUCGUUUAUGUCUGAAUUUCUUUAAUUAUCAAUAUAAAAUUGAUGUUUCAUCAACUUGGUAAAAAUUGAAAAUAUCCGAUGACGGAAGCGACUGAAAGCGACUAUCGUCAUGGACAGGGCGACUUGUUUUCGCUUUUGGGGGUAGGGGAAAGCGAAGUGACGGUCGGGAAGGCGACUUCUUCGCCCAAGUCGCCUGGUAGCGUGAGCCCUGCCCUGAGG